rnacentral:misc_RNA from 1 species
GUGAAUCAUCGAAUCUUUGAACGCACAUUGCGCCCCUUUGGUAUUCCGAAGGGCAUACCUGUUCGAGCGUCAUUAUCACCCCUCAAGCCCCGUGCUUGGUGCUGGACGGCCUGGCCGAGGUUUACUCGGCCCCUCCUAAAGACAAUGACGGCGGCCUGUGGUUCCCCCGGUACACUGAGCUUUUAACUGAGCACGUAUCGGACAAGGGCGCCCGGGACACGGUCCUCUCCUUUCACUAGGAAACUUUUAUCAAGGUUGACCUCGGAUCAGGUAGGAAUACGCGCUGAACUUAAGCAUAUC